UGUCAUUUGAGAAAGUGAAGAGAAACGAACGUACGGUCGCAGGAGAUUAAUCGAACACCGGAGAAAAUGGCGAAGCCUUUGGGAACUACCGGCGAAUUUUUCCGGCGAAGAGAUGAAUGGAGGAAGCAUCCAAUGCUUUCGAAUCAAAUGAGACACGCUCUUCCCGGACUUGGCAUCGGAGUCGCCGCCUUCUGCGUUUACCUCGUCGGUGAGCAGAUCUACAACAAAGCUUUGGCUCCUUCGAAAUCAUCUCACCACCACCAGGAACAGACUGCUCCGUCUCACUGAAGAUCAUCGAUGUUCUUGGAUGAGUGUAUAGAUAAUGGAGAAUGUGGCUACUACAUGCGCCUUUUUCCGGUUAUAUUAGCAAAGCUGAAUGAAAGUUUAAAACAACCCAUUGGAGCUAAGGUUGAGUAGAGAAUCAAAACUAUUCAAUGUAACUAAACAUAUGCUUGAAACAGUGGCACAAGGCUGAACUCAAGGCUUCUUCUUGGUUACUAGCUUUUCAUGGGAUUGUCUUAAUAAUCAUGUUUAAAUCGAAUACAAAGAAUUUGAUUUCUCUGUUUGAAUUGUAAAGCUUGUUGGCGCAAAGGUUCUCUUUGUAUCCCACAAGUUAAGAUUGCAUAUUCGUCCUAUUUGAUUAUGUCUUUCUAAGUUGAUACUUGCUACUUAGCUAAACUGCGUCGUUUAAGAGAUCGUAUUUCAGGUUUAUUAUAUAA